rnacentral:lncRNA from 1 species
GGAUGUGCUUGAAAUUGGGUAAAUACAAAGGAUAUUAAUUGUAUUUAUAGUAUAUUGAUAAGCUUAAGGUAGUAUAUAUCUUUCUCAUUUUCUUUUCUCUAAAAAAAAAUAAAUGAGACAUUUGAAUGUUUGACUUUAUAAUUGAUAUAACUAUUAUAUAUAUAUGAUCAUUCCAUGAUUUGAUUCAAUGAUUUUUACUCAAAUUAUUGAUGAGUGAUGCUCAUACAUAAUCCUAAAGAGAAACAUCCCUUUAUUCCAUAUCUAUAAAUACCUAAUAUGCUGUAAGAGAUAAGCUCAAACCACCUCCAAACAAUGACCCUUCAAGAAUUUUUAUCGAAAGAAUCGAUCUCCUCUCGGCAAUAUAUGUAUAAAUUCCUCAGUGAUAAUUAGUACUUUGGAUGUCUUCGGCAGCGCCUUGCACUUGAUUUCUUCACUUCCCAAGCAAACCUCCACUGUUAAACAUCGUCACCACCACUUCCUUUGCCUCUAGUUUUCCAUAUCUCUUCUUUUAUUUUCUGUAAAGGUUUUGUUUGUUUCUUAGGGGAAAAAAAGAGAGGAAAAAUUAGUAGUGCAGUAACCAAGACCAAGAUCAAAACCCAGAUAUAUUUGAAGAUGCUGUGUUGUUUUUGUUGGUUAUUUUCUUAUUUUUCUCAAAAUUCUUUGGUGUUGAAACGUGGCAUUGCAAUGGGCAACGUGUGGCUGAGUAAGGAGGGCUAGCUGUUUAGGGAAACAACAGCCAUGAUGUAUAAUUGAAUUGGAAUACAAAGAAUAAUUUAUUCUCUUGAGAAUUUUUUGAAAUUUUUACAGUUUUAUCACUUUUAAGUGUAUUUUUAAGAAUCCGAACUACAAUCUUAAAGAUUGUAUUCGGUAAAACGGAUAUAUUUAUUAUGCAAAAUGUACUUUCAGAGGGGGAAUAAAUUAAUGAGCAGAUAUUGU